rnacentral:rRNA from 1 species
UACGUAGGGUGCGAGCGUUGUCCGGAAUUACUGGGCGUAAAGAGCUCGUAGGUGGUUUGUCGCGUUGUCCGUGAAAACUCACAACUCAAUUGUGGGCGUGCGGGCGAUACGGGCAGACUGGAGUACUGCAGGGGAGACUGGAAUUCCUGGUGUAGCGGUGGAAUGCGCAGAUAUCUGGAGGAAUACCGGUGGCGAAGGCGGCAUCCUGGACCGACAUUGACGCUGAACGGCGAAAGCUAGGGGAGCAAACGGG